rnacentral:rRNA from 1 species
UAGGGAAUCUUCCACAAUGGACGCAAGUCUGAUGGAGCAACGCCGCGUGAGUGAAGAAGGUUUUCGGAUCGUAAAGCUCUGUUGUUGGUGAAGAAGGAUAGAGGCAGUAACUGGUCUUUAUUUGACGGUAAUCAACCAGAAAGUCACGGCUAACUACGUGCCAGCAGCCGCGGUAAUACGUAGGUGGCAAGCGUUGUCCGGAUUUAUUGGGCGUAAAGCGAGCGCAGGCGGAAUGAUAAGUCUGAUGUGAAAGCCCACGGCUCAACCGUGGAACUGCAUCGGAAACUGUCAUUCUUGAGUGCAGAAGAGGAGAGUGGAAUUCCAUGUGUAGCGGUGGAAUGCGUAGAUAUAUGGAAGAACACCAGUGGCGAAGGCGGCUCUCUGGUCUGCAACUGACGCUGAGGCUCGAAAGAAUGGGUAGCGAACAGG